GUGAGUAGUUCAGAGUUUGAUCCUGGCUCAGGAUGAACGCUGGCGGCGUGCUUAACACAUGCAAGUCGAACGGAGAUGUUUCGCUGAAGCGGUUUACCAAUUCUUGAGACAUCUUAGUGGCGGACGGGUGAGUAACGCGUGGGUAACCUGCCGUAUACAGGGGGAUAACACUUAGAAAUAGGUGCUAAUACCGCAUAAGCGCACGAGGUCGCAUGACCAUGUGUGAAAAACUCCGGUGGUAUACGAUGGACCCGCGUCUGAUUAGCUAGUUGGUGAGGUAAUGGCUCACCAAGGCGACGAUCAGUAGCCGGCCUGAGAGGGUGAACGGCCACAUUGGGACUGAGACACGGCCCAA
rnacentral:rRNA from 1 species